rnacentral:rRNA from 1 species
GACAGAGGGUGCAAACGUUGUUCGGAAUUACUGGGCGUAAAGCGCGUGUAGGCGGCCCUGCAAGUCGGAUGUGAAAUCCCACGGCUCAACCGUGGAAGUGCAUUCGAAACUGCAGGGCUAGAGUCCUGGAGAGGAAGGUGGAAUGCUUGGUGUAGAGGUGAAAUUCGUAGAUAUCAAGCGGAACACCGGUGGCGAAGGCGGCCUUCUGGACAAUGACUGACGCUGAGACGCGAAAGCGUGGGGAGCAAACAGG